rnacentral:rRNA from 1 species
UUUGCCUUUGAAAUUGUUGUCCAGCUUCUGANAAUGAGGGANGGGACCGGCCCGUUAAAAAAGGNCUAGGUGUCCCAAGCCGANGUUUCNGUUGGGUUUUCCAAUGNGCAAGGGACCCCNGUUGGAGUUUUUGGAUCUUUUACUCGGGAGUUUUGUGAAAAACUUGUUUUUUUUGCAANUCGAAGAUGGGUUUGAGAGACACCUGGCAGGGGAGUAUAACGCCUACAAGUUAUAUAAAAAAACUAUGGCGGCCUAAUCAGUCGUUUUAAGCAUUUAACCCCAGUCGUCAAUGACGUUUCAUUUUCGAAAUGUGUAAUUGAAAACCAAAUACAACUUUAGACAAUGGAUCUCUUGGCUCACGCAUCGAUGAAGAACGUAGCGAAUUGCGAUAAUUAUUGUGAAUUGCAGAUUUAGUGAAUCAUCGAGUCUUUGAACGCAUAUUGCACCCUCUGGUAUUCCGGAGGGUAUGCUUGUUUGAGAACCGUUACAUCUCUCACAAACUGGACCUGAUUUCGGUCAGGAAAGGCAAGUGGAUCUGGCCGUUCCCUGCAAUCUUUUUAUUAAGAUAAUGGGAUGUGCUGAAAUUCAGUGAUCGGAGCUUGCGUGCUUAAAGGGUUUUCUCUCUAACAGUACCGUACUCUUUGAUAACCGACGUAGAUUAAUUGGGUACUUGCUACCUUUUCUCAGCGUCCGGAAAAUCGAGUCGCGAAACUUGAAAGAAUUCAUCCCAAACCUUUUCGCUAUGCCUAUAAGGUAACCGCGAGUAUACGGCUCAUACCUGAACAUGCCAGGCGAUCUAUAUACCGAAGCUGUCCCCGUACUUGCUUGCGAGUGGUUGGAUGUUUCGAUGCAAUAGGUUGUACACCUGAUACUUUGGUCUCAAAUCAAGCAAGACGACCCGCUGAACUUAAGCAUAUCAAUAAGCGGAGGA